CGUUUCCUACGGGACGCAGCAGUGAGGAAUAUUGGUCAAUGGGCGAGAGCCUGAACCAGCCACGUCGCGUGAGGGAAGACGGUCCUAUGGAUUGUAAACCUCUUUUGCCGGGGAGCAAAAAGCGGUACGUGUACCGCAUCGAGAGUACUCGGAGAAAAAGCAUCGGCUAACUCCGUGCCAGCAGCCGCGGUAAUACGGAGGAUGCGAGCGUUAUCCGGAUUUAUUGGGUUUAAAGGGUGCGCAGGCGG
rnacentral:rRNA from 1 species